UUCAGACCGGGUCUCACUCUCUUGCCCAGGCUAGAGUAGAGUGGCGCAAUCUCGGUUCACCACAGCCUCCGCCUCCAGGGCUCAAGUGAUGCUCCGCCUCAGCCUCCCGAGUAGCUGGGACUACAGGCCCGCACCACUGCACCCAGGUCCUUUGGCUAAGGAGAGCAGGCUUCUGUUGGAGCCGCCAGCUUCUUCAGCUCCAAGUGCAGUAUAGAUGAGAUAGAAAGACAAUCUAGAAGAUGCAUCGCUGUUCCUUGGGCCCUGAGUUUCCUAGCCAGUCUGCCUUCUCUCCACCUUUUAGAAUCUUCAUGUUUGUUUUCAAGUCGUAGACUCUUUUUUAUUUAUAUUUAUUUAAAAAUUGAGAGAGUCUCACGAUAUUGUCCAGGCUGGUCUCAAACUCCUGGGCUCAAGUUAUCUUCUCCGCCUCGGCUUCCCAAAGGGCUGGGAUUACAGUCAUGAACCACGGCUCUCAGCCCAAGUCACAGACUCUUAAAACGUAAAAAGAUCUUGGAGAUGAUGGGCUUAAUCAUUUCCUUUUAGAGUGGGAGAAAAUGAAACCAAAGUUACAAAAUAGUUGCAAUAUUGGGAGAUUCCAGUGUUCAAAGCUCUUUUCAGUACAUCAUGUUGCCUCAAUCAGAUGGUUUUGUUUCAUUUUAUUAGAUGUGAACUCAAAUUAAUUGAGACUUUCCUCCAGAUGCUCAAAUUUAAGAAAAAAAUUAGUAUUAAAUUUUGUCCAGUGAGCAAUUAAUCUUCAUUUGUAAAUUAAACUUAAGAAUCAUUUUUCAAUUGCAUAAGUUUGAAUCAAAAAAUUUUUAAAUAAAAAGGUAUUGAACAUCUACUUUAUGUAAAACAAAGGGCCAGUAUACUUUGUAAAAUGGACCAUGUUACCAACCCACAGGUAAUGUUCCAUCUUAGAAAUCUGUGACAGGCAAAAAUGUCCCAGUUGUUUUUAUUUAAAGACUAAUUAUUAACUUGAUGCUGUUCUAUUGGGAAACUUGUCUGUUUCUACAUGGUGUUUUGUUUCUUCAAUUUUCUACUAGAGUAUUUGCCUUGUUUUAAAUCCUUCAUUGAUGUAUGACUCCACUGAUACAACUGCCAAUGGAAGGUGUUCAUUUAACUUAUUUAAAUAGUUGGAACACAACUGAGUUGUCUGAGAGGAUUUCCUAAAUUGCUUCAUAAACAUGUUCAAAGGACUUAUUUUUUUUCUUCUCAAGUAUUAGGCAGAUACCAAAUAUAAAGCUAUAUUGCUUAGUGUGUCAAAACUCCAUGCUGUAAUUACUAACUUGUUUUCCUACUUGCAAGUUAAAAAGGUCUUUUAAAAGGCACAAAUUCUAACAGCUCUAGGUAGCAUUUAUUUUUGUCAAAAUGACAUUAAAACACCUUUUUCUUUUGACAAAAGACCAUAGUCACACAUUAUACAACAAUCUGAAAAUACUGACAAGCAAAAAUGUUCUGAAAACAUUUAUAAUUUCACCAUUGGAGACUUAAUAACUUGAUGUACAGUUUUCCAGACCUUUUUCUAGGACAUAUGAAUCAUAUUAUGUAUGUAGAUGAGUGUUUUAGUUGAAAAGACCCUCACUUUGUGCACUUUAACAGUAUUUAGCACAGGAUCUGGGGCUCUUAGGCUUUUUGGGAAGAAGGAAGCAUUAUUAAACAUGAGAUUACUUUCUGAGUUUGUGUUAUUAAUUGUUUUUUAAUAAUGUUAACAUUUUAGAUCUAUGUAGGUGUAAGCUUUUAGACUAUAUUCAUUUUGUACUAUUGUACUUUGGGAGAAAUAGGCUUUCAACCACAGGAAACAGUUCUGACAACUAGUUGAGGAUACGAAUGAAAGGAGGUGGCAGAGUGAGACUGAUUUCUAAAGUAGUCAUUGCUUAGGAUUAUUUCUUGGCUAUUUACCAUGUAUAAGCACUAAUAUUUUAUUCCAUUAGCUAUGAUCAAGAAGUUAAGUGUUUCUUAAGCCCUCCAAGGAUUUUCUUUUUUAAAAAUUAGUAUUUAUUUACCUGAUUAUUAAAAAAUGCUAAUCAUAGACAAUGUGAAAAAAUGUUGAAGUAUAAAGAAAAUUUAAGUGGCCCAUAAUCCUACUAUUCAGCAAUAACCACAAUUAACAUUUUGAUGUAGUUGUUUAUAGUCUCUUAUCUAUGCUAUAUAUGUUACUGUUGUUGAUUUAUAUUAGGUUUUCCAAUUUUGUCAUUAUAUAUGCCACUGCAGUGAAUAUCUUUUAUAUAUACAUAAGGUUGAAUUUUUUUUUUUUUUUUUUUUGAGACUGAGUCUCUUGCCCAGACUCUAUUGCCCAGGCUGGAGUGCAGUGGCGUGAUCUCGGCUCACUGCACCCUCCACCUCCCGGGUUCAAGUGUUUCUCCUUUCUCAGUCUCCCAAGUAGCUGAGAAUACAGGUGCCUGCCACCACACCCAGCUAAUUUUUGUAUUUUUAGUGGAGAGGGGGUUUCGCCAUGCUGGCCAGGCUGGUCUCAAACUCAUGACCUCAAGUGAUUUUCCUGCCUUGGCCUCCCAAAAUGCUGGGAUUACAGGCGUGAGACACCACACCUGGCCUUGGUUAAACUUUUUAAAUUUUAAAUUUUUUUUUAUUUUUCAGAUGAGGUCUCUCUGUUGCCCAGGCUGGAGUGCGGUGGUGCGAUCUCCACUCACUGCAACCUCUGCUUCCCAGGUUCAAGCGAUCCUCCCACCUCAACCUCCCGAGUAGCUUGGACCAUAGGCACAUGCUACCAAAUCUGGCCAAUUUUUUGUGUUUUUGGUAGAGACAGGGUUUUGCCAUGUUGCCCAGGCUGAUCUCAAACUCCUGGGCUCAAGUCAUCCUCCUGCCUUAGCCUCCCAAAGUGCUGGGAGGCUAAUCGUAGAGAAUGAUUACAGGCAUGAACCACUGUGCCUGGCCAAGAAAAUAUUUUUUAGGAAAACAUAAGGUUGUGCAGAAUUCCUAACAGUGAAAUUCAAUUAGUAACAUCCUAUUUUGAGGCCUUGUGGAGUUUAUCGUUAUAAGGGGGGCUGUUAAAUUGACCGACAGAAACAUAUGUGUAUCGGGCCAGGGUGGCAACUAUCAUCAGUUUAACCAUUCUAUGAAAGCCAGUUUGCCACUUGUGAGAAAAACUGAGUUAUGCUGUAUCCUGUUUCUACAUAUGUAUGGACAAUCAUGAUUGUUCA
rnacentral:lncRNA from 10 species